AGGCAGUGAUGACAAACAAAUUCAUUUCUCGAAUCUGAAUACUGUACUGUGUUAAUUCACAGACGGACCUUCGAAUUUACUUGAUUUGAUGACAGCGUUUGUGCGUGUCUGAGCCUU
rfam:Cucumis sativus cultivar 9930 chromosome 6, whole genome shotgun sequence.